rnacentral:tRNA from 1 species
UUCUAAAAUGACAGAUAAAUGUAUAGGAUUUAAGCUCCUACAAAGAAGAUUUUAUCUUCUUUUAGA